UCCGUAGGUGAACCUGCGGAGGGAUCAUUACACAACGAAAAUAUGAAGGCUUUGGCUUCGCGGCCGGCUGAAAUAUUUUUUUCACCCAUGUCUUUUGCGCACUUGUCGUUUCCUGGGCGGGUUCGCCCGCCACCAGGACCAAACCAUAAACCUUUUUUUUAAUGCAGUUGCAAUCAGCGUCAGUAAAAAAUAAUGUAAUUAUUACAACUUUCAACAACGGAUCUCUUGGUUCUGGCAUCGAUGAAGAACGCAGCGAAAUGCGAUACGUAGUGUGAAUUGCAGAAUUCAGUGAAUCAUCGAAUCUUUGAACGCACAUUGCGCCCUUUGGUAUUCCAAAGGGCAUGCCUGUUCGAGCGUCAUUUGUACCUUCAAGCUUUGCUUGGUGUUGGGCGUUUUUUGUCUCCCUCUUGCUGGGAGACUCGCCUUAAAACGAUUGGCAGCCGGCCUACUGGUUUCGGAGCGCAGCACAUAUUUUGCACUCUGUGUCAGGAGAAAAGGACGGUAAUCCAUCAAGACUCUACAAAUUUUAACUUUUGACCUCGGAUCAGGUAGGGAUACCCGCUGAACUUAAGCAUAUCAAUAAGCGGAGGA
rnacentral:rRNA from 1 species